rnacentral:rRNA from 1 species
UAAGGAAUAUUGGUCAAUGGAGGCAACUCUGAACCAGCCAUGCCGCGUGCAGGAAGACGGCCCUCUGGGUUGUAAACUGCUUUUAUUCGGGAAUAAACCUACUUACGUGUAAGUAGCUGAAUGUACCGAAGGAAUAAGGAUCGGCUAACUCCGUGCCAGCAGCCGCGGUAAUACGGAGGAUCCAAGCGUUAUCCGGAUUUAUUGGGUUUAAAGGGUGCGUAGGCGGCCUAUUAAGUCAGGGGUGAAAGACGGUAGCUCAACUAUCGCAGUGCCCUUGAUACUGAUGGGCUUGAAUGGACUAGAGGUAGGCGGAAUGUGACAAGUAGCGGUGAAAUGCAUAGAUAUGUCACAGAACACCGAUUGCGAAGGCAGCUUACUAUGGUCUUAUUGACGCUGAGGCACGAAAGCGUGGGGAUCAAACA